AAUGAACGCUGGCGGCAUGCCUUACACAUGCAAGUCGAACGGCAGCAUGACCUAGCUUGCUAGGUUGAUGGCGAGUGGCGAACGGGUGAGUAAUGCAUCGGAACGUGCCUUUUAGUGGGGGAUAACGUAGCGAAAGUUACGCUAAUACCGCAUAUUCUCUGAGGAGGAAAGCAGGGGACCUUCGGGCCUUGCGCUAGAAGAGCGGCCGAUGUCGGAUUAGCUAGUUGGUGAGGUAAAGGCUCUCCAAGGCAACGAUCCGUAGCGGGUCUGAGAGGAUGAUCCGCCACACUGGGACUGAGACACGGCCCAGACUCCUACGGGAGGCAGCAGUGGGGAAUUUUGGACAAUGGGCGCAAGCCUGAUCCAGCCAUGCCGCGUGAGUGAAGAAGGCCUUCGGGUUGUAAAGCUCUUUCGGCUGGGAAGAAAUCGCACCCUCUAAUACAGGGUGUGGAUGACGGUACCAGCAUAAGAAGCACCGGCUAACUACGUG
rnacentral:rRNA from 1 species